CUGCGCUUCGCAUCUUUGUUGAUAACACUGGAAGUGGUGGUGUCCACAUUACUGCUCUUGUCAUCUCUGCUAGAGAUGUCAGAGUUGGGCUUUAUAUCGACAGUUUUGGCAUUUCUAUCAGUGAUGUUACCUGUAUCCAGCUUUACAUUAGAGCUUUUGGCGUUACUGAUGGUGAUGCUUCCAAUGUGGGGCUUCAUAUCAGAACUCUUGGCAUCUCUAUUAGUGAUGGAUCCAAUGUUCGGAUUUACAUCAACAUUUUUGGCAAGUCCGUUAGCAAUGCUUCCAAUAUUGGGCUGUACAUCAGUGUUCAUGGUAGCAUUGCUGGUAAUGCUUCUGGUGUUA
rnacentral:misc_RNA from 1 species